rnacentral:rRNA from 1 species
UGGGGAAUUUUGGACAAUGGGGGAAACCCUGAUCCAGCCAUGCCGCGUGAGUGAAGAAGGCCUCGGGUUGUAAAGCUCUUUUGGUCCGGAAAGAAAAGGCCAACGGUAAUACCCGUGGUUCUUGACGGUACCGGCAGAAUAAGCACCGGCUAACUACGUGCCAGCAGCCGCGGUAAUACGUAGGGUGCGAGCGUUAAUCGGAAUUACUGGGCGUAAAGCGUGCGUAGGCGGUCCCGCAAGUCCGCUGUGAAAGCCCCGGGCUCAACCUGGGAACUGCAGUGGAAACUAUGGGACUUGAAUCCGGCAGAGGGGGGUGGAAUGCCACGUGUAGCAGUGAAAUGCGUAGAGAUGUGGCGGAACACCGAUGGCGAAGGCAGCCCCCU